rnacentral:sRNA from 1 species
CGGCAAUACCGGUCGUCACGGCCUUUAUACUUACAAGGUACAACUUCGAGCAACGCGGCUGACAGCACUGCAGUCGGCAGCGGCGUUUGACGUCGACACGUUACGCGACGGCAUGACGUCAUGCGGCAAUACAGGUAAGUGGACGUGAAUCAUCAAUGCCUACAUACUUACUAGGUGCAAUUCUGAGCAACGGGGCAGACAGCACUGCAGUCGGCACUUCGGCAGCGGCAUUCGACGUCGACACGUGCUGGACGGCAUGACUUUAUGCGGCAAUACUAGUUAUCAUUGCCUUUAUACUUACUAGGUGCAACUCCGUGCAACGCGGCAGACAGCACUGCAGUCGGCAGCGGCAUUCGACGUCGACACGUGGCGCGACGGCAUGACGUCAUGCGGCAAUACAGGUAAGUGGACGUGAAUCACCAAUGCCUACAUACUUACUAGGUGCAAUUACGAGCAACGCAGCAGACAGCACUGCAGUCGGCACUUCGGCAGCGGCAUUCGACGUCGACAAGUGCCGCGACGGCAUGACGUUAUGCGGCAAUAGUGGUCAUCAUUGCCUUUAUACUUACUAGGUGCAACUCCGUGCAACGCGGCUGACAGCACUGCAGUCGGCAGCGGCAUUUGACGUCGACACGUGGCGCGACGGCAUGACGUCAUGCGGCAAUACAGGUAAGUGGACGUAAAUCACCAAUGCCUACAUACUAACUAGGUGCAAUUCCGAGCGACGGGGCAGAAAGCACUGCAGUCGACACUUCGGCAGCGGCAUUCGACGUCAACACGUGCUGCGACGGCAUGACGUUAUGCGGCAAUACCGGUCGUCACGGCCUUUAUACUUACAAGGUGCAACUCCGAGCAACGCGGCUGACAGCACUGCAGUCGGCAGCGGCAUUUGACGUCGACACGUGACGCGACGGCAUGACGUCAUGCGGCAAUACAGGUGCAAUUCCGAGCAACGCGGCAGACAGCACUGCAGUAGGCAGCGGCAUUCGACGUCGACACGUGGCGCGACGGCAUGACGUCAUGCGGCAAUACAGGUAAGUGGACGUGAAUCACCAAUGCCUACAUACUUACUAGGUGCAAUUCUGAGCAACGGGGCAGACAGCACUGCAGUCGGCACUUCGGCAGCGGCAUUCGACGUCGACACGUGCUGGACGGCAUGACUUUAUGCGGCAAUACUAGUUAUCAUUGCCUUUAUACUUACUAGGUGCAACUCCGUGCAACGCGGCAGACAGCACUGCAGUCGGCAGCGGCAUUCGACGUCGACACGUGGCGCGACGGCAUGACGUCAUGCGGCAAUACAGGUAAGUGGACGUGAAUCACCAAUGCCUACAUACUUACUAGGUGCAAUUACGAGCAACGCAGCAGACAGCACUGCAGUCGGCACUUCGGCAGCGGCAUUCGACGUCGACAAGUGCCGCGACGGCAUGACGUUAUGCGGCAAUACUGGUCAUCAUUGCCUUUAUACUUACUAGGUGCAACUCCGUGCAACGCGGCAGACAGCACUGCAGUCGGCAGCGGCAUUCGACGUCGACACGUGGCGCGACGGCAUGACGUCAUGCGGCAAUACAGGUAAGUGGACGUGAAUA